rnacentral:misc_RNA from 1 species
UAGGCUAGUGAACUCUUGGACUCGAGGUCUACUUCUAGAUUAGAUCUAGUCGUCGUAAUUUUAUUGCUUACUUUGCAUUUUCUGAGAAGAUUUUUUCCAGCACUCUUAUCUUUUUUACGAACGACCUUUCUUUAACUUUGAAAAAUGGACAGGACUUUUCACUGAGAUUGACUUUGACUCACUGAAAAUGACUUGUGAAGAAUCUUAAAUCCAAUCAAACUGUAGGAAGGCCAAGACCAAAUGUACUAGAGCUCCUCGAAUUUCUUGUUCAACAAUGGCAAAACCGUUAUUAAUGAUAGGGAGGACUUGGAACAGACUGGAGGUACAGGCGUCAAUCUACUGUUGUCAGAGGAGCACUGUUGCUGAAAGAUAUGGCGCUUCAAGUACUUGUGAAGAGUAUGAAAAUGCUCAGCCGUUUUCAAAGAUUCCAGGUCCAAAAGGCUUACCGUUUAUUGGCAGCUGGCUGGAUUACAAACUGAAUCCAAAUAAAAUUCACAGACGGGAUACUCUUAUUAGGGAGAUGCAGUCAGAAUAUGGAGAUAUUGUGAAAGAAAAUAUUGCUGGUCGAGAUAUUGUACAUCUCUUUGGCCUCGACUUUAUUAGACAGAUUUAUAAUGCUGAAGGAAAGCACCCCGUGAUCCCGCCUUUAUUGUUCCCCGUAAAGCACUAUCGUCAUGAUAAAAAUCUUUCUCCAGGCCUUGGAAACAGCAAUGGAGAGCAGUGGUACAAACUAAGAAGUGUCGUUCAACAAGUCAUGCUUCGGCCCCAGAAAGCCUUUGACUAUCUUCCAAUGCAGAAUGAAGUUGCCAAUGAUUUUAUCUCCAAGAUAGAAUCUAUUCUAGACGAAAACAGAGAAGUGCCUCACUUUAACCGGUGGGUGGCAAGAUGGGGUCUUGAAUCUGCAGCCAAUAUCACUUUCGAUCGUCGCAUGGGUUUUCUGGAGGAAACUGGUCAUGCUGUUGCGGACAAAAUCAUCCAGAGUAAUUCAGAUGUCUUUGACUUGUCUUCCAAAUUCUUCUUUUCCCUUCCAUUUUACAAGUUCUUUCCCACUCACGGAAUGAAGAGAAUCUAUGAGUGUGAGGACUUCAUUUUAGGGGAAGGAGAGCGGCUUCUGAAGGAGGCAAUAAAGGACUAUGAAAUUGUCUUAAAUUCAGGAGAAUUAACAGAUGACAGGUUCCGCUUCUUGUCAUAUAUGUUAAGCAACGAUAGCGUGUCCUAUAAGGACAUGGCAGCUGUUGUCAACUCUGUUUUCACAGACACGUUAAGCACGAGGCUCAAGACAGGGCUUAUGAAGAGGCAAAUACUAUUUUAUCUUCGUCUGGUGAUGUCACAGUGGAGGGGUUCAAUUCUUCCAGAUACAUUAAAGCCUGCAUUAAAGAGACUUUCAGAUUUCUUCCUAUUGGUAUUGACAUUCAGCGUUUAUGCCCAGCAAACAUGGUCAUCGGAGGCUAUCAAGUUCCAGAAGGGACUUACCUUGUUUUGGAGCCACAUGUCAGCCAACAUGAUCCAAAGUAUGUUGCUGAGCCAGAAAAGUACCUGCCAGAGAGAUGGCUGAGGGAGGAGACUGGCACAGAGAAGACCCACCCAUAUUUGCUUAUACCUUUUAGCAUUGGUACAAGAAUGUGUGCAGGACGGCGAUUUGCUGAGCAGGAGCUGGUCAUGAUGCUGGCCAAACUUUUGUCUCAUUAUCGUCUGGAGUGGCACCAUGGACCGGUGA